GACGAACGCUGGCGGCGUGCUUAACACAUGCAAGUCGAACGCUGAAGCACCAGCUUGCUGGUGUGGAUGAGUGGCGAACGGGUGAGUAAUACGUGAGUAACCUGCCCUUGACUCUGGGAUAAGCCCGGGAAACUGGGUCUAAUACUGGAUGCUACAUGUCACCGCAUGGUGGUGUGUGGAAAGGGUUUACUGGUCUUGGAUGGGCUCACGGCCUAUCAGCUUGUUGGUGAGGUAAUGGGUCACCAAGGCGACGACGGGUAGCCGGCCUGAGAGGGUGACCGGCCACACUGGGACUGAGACACGGCCCAGACUCCUAAGGGAGGCAGCAGUGGGGAAUAUUGAACAAUGGGCGAAAGCCUGAUGCAGCGACGCCGCGUGAGGGAUGACGGCCUUCGGGUUGUAAACCUCUUUCAGCAGGGAAGAAGCCACAAGUGACGGUACCUGCAGAAGAAGCGCCGGCUAACUACGUG
rnacentral:rRNA from 1 species